GACGAACGCUGGCGGCGUGCCUAAUACAUGCAAGUCGAACGCAGUGGGGACGGGUGCGUAACAACUGGGUAACCUCCCAUCAGAGGGGAUAACACUUGGAAACAGGUGCUAAACCGCUACUGGUGGAUGGACCCGCAGUGCAUUAGCUAGUUGGUGAGGUAACGGCUCACCAAGGCGACGAUGCAUAGCCGACCUGAGAGGAUGAUCGGCCACACUGGGACUGAGACACGGCCCAGACUCCUACGGGAGGCAGCAGUAGGGAAUCGUCCACAAUGGACGAAAGUCUGACGGAGCAACGCCGCGUGAGUGAAGAAGGUUUUCGGGUCGUAAAGCUCUGUUGUUGGGGAAGCGGUAUUUAACCAGAAAGCAACGGCUAACUACGUGCCAGCCGCCGCGGUAAUAC
rnacentral:rRNA from 1 species